GACUCGGCGAGUUGUAGGCCCGACUCGCCGAGUAGAGCAGGGAUAUGGAACACGUUUAAGUUGGCGACUCGGCGAGUCCAUAUUCUGGACUCGGCGAGUCCAUAUUCUGGACUCGGCGAGUCCAUAUUCUGGACUCAACGAGUCCCCGCUGUCUGAUGAAACCCUAAUUUCAAGGGUUUGCACCCUAUUUAAAUCACCUUAUGCGACCCAAGCUCGCCCCCUUCACCCUCAGAGCUCCCUAUAUCGUCCAAACCUUGUUCCUUGUGAGAUUGAAGUGUUUGGUGUGUUUUCUUGAAUAUUUUGAGAGAAAAAGGAGAGUAUAUCAAGAGGAGAAGAAGGAGGCCAGACAUCUUGGUGUUAUUUCAGUGAUUUCCUUGAGCCGGAGGAUUUCCGGGGCAGCAGCAGCAGAAGACAGUCAGUUCCAACGCAGAUCAACAGCUACUUUGAGGUACCUCUUCUUCGAAGGGGAAGGAGCUGGCACGGUAACGGCACAUCACAUAUAUGCUUUGUAUUCCGCACUAUGAGAUUUUCCUGGGGAUUUGUACUCUGACAUUAUUAUGUUUUAUAAAAUGGUUUCCAGACACGCGACAUCUUUUAUGAAAUGAUAUGAUCGGUGAAUGUUUUAUUUCUAA